rnacentral:rRNA from 1 species
CAGCAGCCCGGUAAAACCGAGGGUGCAAGCGUUAAUCGGAAUUACUGGGCGUAAAGCGCGCGUAGGUGGUUUGUUAAGUUGGAUGUGAAAGCCCCGGGCUCAACCUGGGAACUGCAUCCAAAACUGGCAAGCUAGAGUACGGUAGAGGGUGGUGGAAUUUCCUGUGUAGCGGUGAAAUGCGUAGAUAUAGGAAGGAACACCAGUGGCGAAGGCGACCACCUGGACUGAUACUGACACUGAGGUGCGAAAGCGUGGGGAGCAAACAGGAUUAGAUACCCUGUAGUCCCUGUCUCUUAUACAC